rnacentral:rRNA from 1 species
AUUGAACGCUGGCGGCAUGCUUUACACAUGCAAGUCGAACGGCAGCGCGGGCUUCGGCCUGGCGUCGAGUGGCGAACGGGUGAGUAAUGCAUCGGAACGUGCCCAGCAGUGGGGGCUAGCCCGGCGAAAGCCGGAUUCAUACCGCAUUCGACCUGAGGGUGAAAGCGGGGGACCGAAAGGCCUCGCGCCAUUGCACCGGCCGAUGUCGGAUUAGCUAGUUGGUGGGGUAAAGGCUUACCAAGGCGACGAUCCGUAGCUGGUCUGAGAGGACGACCAGCCACACUGGGACUGAGACACGGCCCAGACUCCUACGGGAGGCAGCAGUGGGGAAUUUUGGACAAUGGGGGCAACCCUGAUCCAGCCAUGCCGCGUGCGGGAAGAAGGCCUUCGGGUUGUAAACCGCUUUUGUUCGGGAAGAAAACCUCUGGGCUAAUACCCCGGGGGGAUGACGGUACCGGAAGAAUAAGCACCGGCUAACUACGUG